GGGGCUGUAGCUCAGUGGUAGAGCGCUUACCUCCCAUGUAUGAUGCACUGAGUUCGACUUCAGCAUCA
rnacentral:tRNA from 1 species